AUUAUGGAAGGGUUGUAUUUAUUAGAUAAAGAACCAAUAUAAUUGGUGACUCAUAAUAACUUUACGGAUCACAUUAAAUGUGACAUAUCAUUCAAGUUUCUGACCUAUCAGCUUUAGACGGUAGGGUAUUGGCCUACCGUGGCGAUGACGGGUAACGGGGAAUUAGGGUUCGAUUCCGGAGAGGGAGCCUGAGAAACGGCUACCACAUCUAAGGAAGGCAGCAGGCGCGCAAAUUACCCAAUCCUAAUACAGGGAGGUAGUGACAAGAAAUAACAAUACAGGACUUUUUGGUUUUGUAAUUGGAAUGAGUUAAGUAUAAACCCCUUUACAAGUAUCAAUUGGAGGGCAAGUCUGGUGCCAGCAGCCGCGGUAAUUCCAGCUCCAAUAGCGUAUAUUAAAGUUGUUGCAGUUAAAAAGCUCGUAGUUGGAUUUCUGUUAAUAAUUUAUAUAAAAUAUUUUGAUGAAUAUUUAUAUAACAUUAACAUAAUUCAUAUUACUAUAUUUUUUAGUAUAUGAAAUUUUACUUUGAGAAAAUUAGAGUGCUUAAAGCAGGCAUAUGCCUUGAAUACUCCAGCAUGGAAUAAUAUUAAAGAUUUUUAUCUUUUUUAUUGGUUCUAAGAUAAGAAUAAUGAUUAAUAGGGACAGUUGGGGGCAUUUGUAUUUAACAGUCAGAGGUGAAAUUCUUAGAUUUGUUAAAGACAAACUAAUGCGAAAGCAUUUGCCAAGGAUGUUUUCAUUAAUCAAGAACGAAAGUUAGGGGAUCGAAGACGAUCAGAUACCGUCGUAGUCUUAACCAUAAACUAUGCCAA
rnacentral:rRNA from 1 species